UCCCUGAUGGUCUAGUGUUCAGGAUUCAGGCGAUUUUACCACCGCGGCCCGGGAUCGAUUCCCAGUCAGGGAA